CGCAGCCGCGGUAAUUCCAGCUCCAAUAGCGUAUAUUAAAGUUGCUGCAGUUAAAAAGCUCGUAGUUGAAUUUCGGGACCAUCAUGUCGGUCGUGCCUCGGUACGUACUGGCAUUGUUGGUUUCUCCCUUCUGACGAACCAUGAUGUCAUUUAUUUGGUGUUGUGGGGAAUCAGGACUGUUACUUUGAAAAAAUUAGAGUGUUUAAAGCAGGCUCACGCUUGAAUACAUUAGCAUGGAAUAAUGAAAUAGGACGUUUGAUUCUAUUUUGUUGGUUUCUAGGAUCGACGUAAUGAUUAAUAGGGAUAGUUGGGGGCAUUAGUAUUCAAUUGUCAGAGGUGAAAUUCUUGGAUUUAUUGAAGACUAACUACUGCGAAAGCAUUUGCCAAGGAUGUUUUCAUUAAUCAAGAACGAAAGUUAGGGGAUCGAAGACGAUCAGAUACCGUCGUAGUCUUAAACCAUAAACUAUGCCGACUAGGGAUCGGAUGAUGUUAAUUUUUAAUGACUCAUUC
rnacentral:rRNA from 1 species